CUCUCUAUUCUCACUCGGUCUUCCUUUUUCCUGGCGGCGACGACUGGGCGAUUACCGGCGCCCCUCGCGACGUCUUCACCGGGCCCUUUGCCGGCGACGAGCACCACCAGUCUUCCACUAGCAGGGACCGUAGGCCGAUGGAGUGCGUGGUGCAGGGAAUCAUCGAGACCCAGUGGAUAAAAAAUCGUAUUGAUGUACAAUGUUGAGCACCACUGUCAAGUUUAGUGUGCACCACUCCAUUAGCUGCACUGAGUGCUCGUUUCAGCUCCCUCUCUAGCAUAGUUUCUAACUUCCUCCGCCACUGUGCUAAGCCUACUUUUCGCCCUCGACUGGAGCACUAGAUCCUGCCAAGCUAUGAUACAGAAAGUAUGGCCUCAUUUGUGUCAGUAAUUGGUGAAAUUUGGAGGACUGAGAGGAUUUGGUGUGUGUUGGGAAAACUAACAGCAUGAAGAGGGGAUAGGAUUCGCUAAAACAAAUUUGUGAGAGAGAAGGAUAAUUUUCUGGGUAGGAUAGUUUUUUCAUAAACUGUUUCGUUUGCUAAGAAGGUGGCCUUUUCUGUC